UUCCAAUUUUCAGUUAGUGAUUAUUCCAAUUGGGCUCAUUUUACAGUUGCUACCUACACGAAAUGACCCGAUAUUCAACGAUGAGGCACAACUCCUGGCCUGGCUUCUAGUGGACAAUUGGAGGUCGCCGAGUACACUUAUACCUGGUUCCAUGACGGACUUUUUUCGAUGCAGGCAACCUCCAGCGAAAUGCCUGAAGCAAUUAUUUUCCAAUGUUAACGUGGACGGGUCGAUACAAGUUCCGGAACAUCAUCUUCUCUGGGCGCAAUCAUUCCGGUGCAGGAUGCCGACAUCACCGAUGAGGAAUAAGUAUCCAGAAAAGCUUCGCCCUGAGUCAUAGUUAUUCGUGGAUCGGAUUACUGCAAUUGUAUUUAUUUUUAUAAGUCCUCAUCGAACAAAUUAAAAACAGAAACGGAACUGAAGCGGAAGUUAUUUUCACAAGUAAGGGAUGGUAGUGACAAAGAGAAGAUAGUGUGAUAGAAUGAAAUCGAAUACCUUAUGAAAUAAGCAGGGAAAAAGGUAUGCUAGCCCGAUUAGCUACAGAGUGCGUUGGCUUCAUGAACGGUAUUUUUUUCAAUGUUAGCCUCAUUACUGCUUGUUUGUCGUCAUGUUCAAGUGAUUUGAAAUAUUAAUUAAGAAACAUGUGUAAACAAAUUGUUAAGCCAAAGUCUAUUGAAUUGUAAUUGCAUGAUUGUGAAACAACCGAAA